UACGAAGGGGGCUAGCGUUGCUCGGAAUCACUGGGCGUAAAGCGCACGUAGGCGGAUUGUUAAGUCAGGGGUGAAAUCCUGGAGCUCAACUCCAGAACUGCCUUUGAUACUGGCGAUCUUGAGUCCGGGAGAGGUGAGUGGAACUGCGAGUGUAGAGGUGAAAUUCGUAGAGAUGUGGAGGAACACCAGUGGCGAAGGCGACUCUUUGGCCUGUAACUGACGCUGAGGCGCGAAAGCGUGGGGAGCAAACAGG
rnacentral:rRNA from 1 species